rnacentral:rRNA from 1 species
GAUGAACGCUGGCGGCGUGCUUAACACAUGCAAGUCGAACGAAGCACUUUAACCUGAUUCUUCGGAUGAAGGUUUUUGUGACUGAGUGGCGGACGGGUGAGUAACGCGUGGGUAACCUGCCUCAUACAGGGGGAUAACAGUUAGAAAUGACUGCUAAUACCGCAUAAGACCACAGAGCCGCAUGGCUCGGUGGGAAAAACUCCGGUGGUAUGAGAUGGACCCGCGUCUGAUUAGGUAGUUGGUGGGGUAACGGCCUACCAAGCCAACGAUCAGUAGCCGACCUGAGAGGGUGACCGGCCACAUUGGGACUGAGACACGGCCCAAACUCCUACGGGAGGCAGCAGUGGGGAAUAUUGCACAAUGGGGGAAACCCUGAUGCAGCGACGCCGCGUGAGCGAAGAAGUAUUUCGGUAUGUAAAGCCCUAUCAGCAGGGAAGAAAAUGACGGUACCUGACUAAGAAGCACCGGCUAAAUACGUG